rnacentral:SRP_RNA from 1 species
GAGGCAUCGCUAUUCAACUUUUCGGAGUGAACCUGGUCAGGUCUUGAUUGAAGCAGCCAUAAGCUUUUAGAGAGUGUGGGUAGCGAUGCUUGAGA